GACAGAGGGUGCAAACGUUGCUCGGAAUUACUGGGCGUAAAGCGCGUGUAGGUGGUCUGGUCAGUCGGACGUGAAAGCCCGGGGGCUCAACCCCCGGAAGUGCAUUCGAUACUGCCAGGCUGGAGUACUGAAGAGGAGAGCGGAAUUCCCGGUGUAGAGGUGAAAUUCGUAGAUAUCGGGAGGAACACCAGUGGCGAAGGCGGCUCUCUGGGCAGAUACUGACACUGAGACGCGAAAGCGUGGGGAGCAAACAGGG
rnacentral:rRNA from 1 species